rnacentral:rRNA from 1 species
AGCGAACGUUAGCGGCGGGCUUAACACAUGCAAGUCGAGCGAGAAAGGGGCUUCGGCCCUGAGUACAGCGGCGGACGGGUGAAUAACACGUAGGUAACCUUCCUUCCAGCGGGGGGACAACGGUCCGAAAGGACCGCUAAUACCGCAUACGUUCCCUGGGACCCUGGUCCCGGGGAGGAAAGCUCCGCAAGGGGCACUGGAUGAGGGGCCUGCGUAGCAUCAGCUAGUUGGUGGGGUAAUGGCCUACCAAGGCUAAGACGCUUAGCUGGUCUGAGAGGAUGAUCAGCCACACUGGGACUGAGACACGGCCCAGACUCCUACGGGAGGCAGCAGUGGGGAAUAUUGGACAAUGGGCGCAAGCCUGAUCCAGCCACGCCGCGUGAGUGAUGAAGGCCUCGGUCGUAAAGCUCUGUGGGAGGGACGGAAUGGCGCCGUGAGAGCGGCGAGUGACGGUACCGGAACGAAGAAGACACCGGCGUAACUACGUGCCAGCAGCCGCGGUAA